rnacentral:rRNA from 1 species
UAGGGGAGCCGGAGGGAAACCGAGUCUUAAUUGGGCGUUAAGUUGCAGGGUAUAGACCCGAAACCCGGUGAUCUAGCCAUGGGCAGGUUGAAGGUUGGGUAACACUAACUGGAGGACCGAACCGACUAAUGUUGAAAAAUUAGCGGAUGACCUGUGGCUGGGGGUGAAAGGCCAAUCAAACCGGGAGAUAGCUGGUUCUCCCCGAAAGCUAUUUAGGUAGCGCCUCGUGAAUUCAUCUCCGGGGGUAGAGCACUGUUUCGGCUAGGGGGCCAUCCCGGCUUACCAACCCGAUGCAAACUGCGAAUACCGGAGAAUGUUAUCACGGGAGACACACGGCGGGUGCUAACGUCCGUCGUGAAGAGGGAAACAACCCAGACCGCCAGCUAAGGUCCCAAAGUCAUGGUUAAGUGGGAAACGAUGUGGGAAGGCCCAGACAGCCAGGAUGUUGGCUUAGAAGCAGCCAUCAUUUAAAGAAAGCGUAAUAGCUCACUGGUCGAGUCGGCCUGCGCGGAAGAUGUAACGGGGCUAAACCAUGCACCGAAGCUGCGGCAGCGACACUGUGUGUUGUUGGGUAGGGGAGCGUUCUGUAAGCCUGUGAAGGUGUGUCGUGAGGCAUGCUGGAGGUAUCAGAAGUGCGAAUGCUGACAUAAGUAACGAUAAAGCGGGUGAAAAGCCCGCUCGCCGGAAGACCAAGGGUUCCUGUCCAACGUUAAUCGGGGCAGGGUGAGUCGACCCCUAAGGCGAGGCCGAAAGGCGUAGUCGAUGGGAAACGGGUUAAUAUUCCCGUACUUGGUGUUACUGCGAAGGGGGGACGGAGAAGGCUAUGUUGGCCGGGCGACGGUUGUCCCGGUUUAAGCGUGUAGGUGUGUGUUCCAGGUAAAUCCGGUUCACUUUAACACUGAGGCGUGACGACGAGGCACUACGGUGCUGAAGCAACAAAUGCCCUGCUUCCAGGAAAAGCCUCUAAGCAUCAGGUAACAUCAAAUCGUACCCCAAACCGACACAGGUGGUCAGGUAGAGAAUACCAAGGCGCUUGAGAGAACUCGGGUGAAGGAACUAGGCAAAAUGGUGCCGUAACUUCGGGAGAAGGCACGCUGACACGUAGGUGAAGUGAUUUACUCAUGGAGCUGAA